UAAUACGGAGGGUCCAAGCGUUGUCCGGAAUCACUGGGUGUAAAGGGUGCGCAGGCGGGCCUGUAAGUCAGAGGUGAAAGCCACCGGCCUAACCGGUGAACUGCCUUUGAUACUGCAGGUCUUGAGUCCCGGAGAGGCUAUCGGAAUUCGUGGUGUAGCGGUGAAAUGCGUAAAUAUCACGAGGAACACCGGAUGCGUAAGCGGAUAGCUGGACGGGUACUGACGCUCAGGCACGAAAGCGCGGGGAGCGAACAGGAUUAGAUACCCUGGUAGUCCGCGCCGUAAACGAUGGACGCUCGAUGUUGCACCGCUUCAGGUGCAGUGUCUAAGCUAACGCGUUAAGCGUCCCACCUGGGGAGUACGAUCGCAAGGUUG
rnacentral:rRNA from 1 species